UCUACGAGGCCGCUCUCCAGCCCGCGUGAGGUGGCUACAGUCUACGAGGCCGCUCUCCAGCCCGCGUGAGGUGGCUACAGUCUACGAGGCCGCUCUCCAACCCGCGUGAGGUGGCUACAGUCUACGAGGCCGCUCUCCAACCCGCGUGAGGUGGCUACAGUCUACGAGGCCGCUCUCCAGCCCGCGUGAGAUGGCUACAGUCUACGAGGCCACUCUCCAACCCGCGUGAGGUGGCUACAGUCUACGAGGCCACUCUCCAACCCGCGUGAGGUGGCUACAGUCUACGAGGCCACUCUCCAACCCGCGUGAGGUGGCUACAGUCUACGAGGCCGCUCUCCAACCCACGUGAGGUGGCUACAGUCUACGAGGCCGCUCUCCAGACCCGCGUGAGGUGGCUACAGUCUACGAGGCCGCUCUCCAACCCGCGUGAGGUGGCUACAGUCUACGAGGCCGCUCUCCAGCCCGCGUGAGGUGGCUACAGUCUACGAGGCCGCUCUCCAGCCCGCGUGAGGUGGCUACAGUCUAC